UGUAGGCACAAAGCAGGAAGACCCUCAUGGUGGGCCAAGGUGAAGUCAGGGUAGCCCCUGCCCAGAAAUGCCACUGAGCUACCUGGAAAACAGAAGCAUUGGGUGGAGGCUGGU